rnacentral:rRNA from 1 species
AUUGAACGCUGGCGGCAGGCCUAACACGUGCAAGUCGAGCGGAUGAAGGGAGCUUGCUCCUGGAUUCAGCGGCGGACGGGUGAGUAAUGCCUAGGAAUCUGCCUGGUAGUGGGGGAUAACGUCCGGAAACGGGCGCUAAUACCGCAUACGUCCUGAGGGAGAAAGUGGGGGAUCUUCGGACCUCACGCUAUCAGAUGAACCUAGGUCGGAUUAGCUAGUUGGUGGGGUAAAGGCCUACCAAGGCGACGAUCCGUAACUGGUCUGAGAGGAUGAUCAGUCACACUGGAACUGAGACACGGUCCAGACUCCUACGGGAGGCAGCAGUGGGGAAUAUUGGACAAUGGGCGAAAGCCUGAUCCAGCCAUGCCGCGUGUGUGAAGAAGGUCUUCGGAUUGUAAAGCACUUUAAGUUGGGAGGAAGGGCAGUAAGUUAAUACCUUGCUGUUUUGACGUUACCAACAGAAUAAGCACCGGCUAACUUCGUG